UGAAACAAAAGGUUAUCGACUAUAUGAUCCUGUAACUAAAAAAUUGAUCAUUAGUCGUGAUGUGAUUUUUGAUGAAAACAGAACUUGGAAUUUUAAUGUGGCUGAAAUUCCUAUAGUUCUAAUGGAAGAAGGUAAUAAAGUUUUGCCUGAUGUCAACACCCCGCCCGCAUUGUUUGAUGAAAAUACCUCACUUACAUCUCCUAGUCUGCAUAACAUACCUAGUGAUUCUGAUAUGCAUACAAGUGAUUCUGAUGAUUCAGAUGCAUAUGAAAGAUGUGAUUCUGACUCACCUCCACCAAAAUUUCGAAGGAUUUCAGAUAUUUACCGAUCUGUU
rnacentral:lncRNA from 1 species